AUGACACAGAUUUGCAAUCAGAGAGACAAUUUUUUGGAAGUUGAUGAUGUGUGUGCUUUUGUGUAUCUACAAAUAUUAUACCUAACGUCGUUGCAAAUUUGCAAUCAGAGAGACAAUUUUCAACGACGGUUAUAUUAUACCUAACGACGUUUAAAAAAAAAUCAACGUCGCUCAACAAAUAUAUUACGUCGUCUUAGUCUUACUUAAGACGACGAAAAACGACGACAGUAAUACAAAAACAGUCGUUGUUUUUAUAUUCUUAUUUUUUUAAAUCUGUCAUCCAAAAAAGAAAAUUUACAUAUUCCAGAACAUUAAUUUCCUUCAUUUUAAAUUUCUUUGAUUUUCAGAUUUCUUCAUUCCAGCACAUCUGAUCUUCAGAUUUCCCUGAGAAGCGAACUUUCCUUCGACAGCGAGUGGAGGCCAGGCUUGCAUCUCUUUUGAUGGAAAGCAAGGAGUAUUCAGAAGCACUAAGUGUCCUAUCAGGCUUGAUCAAGGAAGUGAGAAGGCUAGUUGACAAGCUUCUUCUUGUGGACAUAGAUUUGAUGCGAGUAAGCUCAAUUUCUCUUUGA
rnacentral:lncRNA from 1 species